CAACCGAAGAAAGAAAGAAAUAAUAGAGAAAAUGAGGAGGAUGCUGUGUAUUUGAAAGAUAUUCUGAGGGAAUAUAAGGGCAAGCUAUAUGUUCCUGAGCAGAUUUUUGAGGCAGAAUUAUCUGAAGAAGAGGAGUUUGAUAGGAAUUUGGAGGAGUUGCCCCAAAUGAGCUUUGAGGAUUUUAGGAAAGCAAUCAAUACUGAUAAGGUUAAGUUGUUGACGUCGAAGGAAGUUACAGGCAGUACUUAUGGAAAUCGUUAUAGAGCCUUUGUUGUGGAUUUGAAGGAAAUUCCGG
rnacentral:misc_RNA from 1 species